rnacentral:rRNA from 1 species
UACGGAGGGGGCUAGCGUUGUUCGGAAUUACUGGGCGUAAAGCGCACGUAGGCGGCUUUGCAAGUCAGAGGUGAAAGCCCGGGGCUCAACCCCGGAAUUGCCUUUGAGACUGCAUCGCUAGAAUUGUGGAGAGGUAAGUGGAAUUCCGAGUGUAGAGGUGAAAUUCGUAGAGAUCGGGAGGAACACCAGUGGCGAAGGCGGCUACCCGGACCAGCACUGACACUGAGGCACGAAAGCGUGGGGAGCAAACAGG